rnacentral:tRNA from 1 species
GGUGAUUAUAGUUCAAUUGGUGAGAACGUCAAUUUGUGGUAUUGAAGCGUCUGGGUUCGAGUCCCAGUAUUCACC